CCUACGGGCGGCAGCAGUGAGGAAUAUUGGUCAAUGGGCUUACGCCUGAACCAGCCAAGUCGCGUGAGGGAAGACUGUCCUAUGGGUUGUAAACCUCUUUUGUCAGGGAGCAACGCCGGCUACGUGUAGCCGGACUGAGAGUACCUGAAGAAAAAGCAUCGGCUAACUCCGUGCCAGCAGCCGCGGUAAUACGGAGGAUGCGAGCGUUAUCCGGAUUUAGUGGGUUUAAAGGGUGCGUAGGCGGAAUGCCAAGUCAGCGGUAAAAUCGCGGGGCUCAACCCCGUCGUGCCGUUGAAACUGAGGUUCUUGAGUGGGCGAGAAGUAUGCGGAAUGCGUGGUGUAGCGGUGAAAUGCAUAGAUAUCACGCAGAACUCCGAUUGCGAAGGCAGCAUACCGGCGCCCAACUGACGCUGAAGCACGAAAGCGUGGGUAUCGAACAGGAUUAGAUACCCGGGUAGUC
rnacentral:rRNA from 1 species